rnacentral:ncRNA from 1 species
CUGUCAUAGCAAUGCAUCAUUUGAUCACGAUGGCUCUCACAUCAUGUGACAGACAAAUGAAUAUAAACAGCGAUCUGAUGAGCAAGAGAGCUGCAAUCCGGAAUGGAGAUUUUUGCAUGACGAUGGUUGGAGUGAUACGAACUUUGAGAGACCUGAUUUCCAACGUAU